rnacentral:rRNA from 1 species
AUUGAACGCUGGCGGCAUGCCUUACACAUGCAAGUCGAACGGUAACAGGUCUUCGGAUGCUGACGAGUGGCGAACGGGUGAGUAAUACAUCGGAACGUGCCUAGUAGUGGGGGAUAACUACUCGAAAGAGUGGCUAAUACCGCAUGAGAUCUACGGAUGAAAGCAGGGGAUCGCAAGACCUUGUGCUACUAGAGCGGCCGAUGGCAGAUUAGGUAGUUGGUGGGAUAAAAGCUUACCAAGCCGACGAUCUGUAGCUGGUCUGAGAGGACGAUCAGCCACACUGGGACUGAGACACGGCCCAGACUCCUACGGGAGGCAGCAGUGGGGAAUUUUGGACAAUGGGCGAAAGCCUGAUCCAGCAAUGCCGCGUGCAGGAAGAAGGCCUUCGGGUUGUAAACUGCUUUUGUACGGAACGAAACGCGCUGUGCUAAUACCACGGCGUAAUGACGGUACCGUAAGAAUAAGCACCGGCUAACUACGUGCCAGCCGCCGCAGUAACAC